AUGAAGAGGCUGCUGUGCUCUCUGCUGGGGCUGCUGUGCACCCAGGUUUGCUGGGUGAAAGGUCAACAAGUGAAGCAGAGUCCUGUGUCCUUGGUUCUGCAGGAGGGAGAGCGUGCAGAACUGCAGUGCAACUUUUCCACAGUUCUGAGCAGUGUGCAGUGGUUUUACCAAAGUCCUGGGGGACAUCUGAAGAUUCUGAUUUACAAUCCUUCUGGAACAAAGCAGAGUGGAAGACUGAUGUCCACAACAGUCACUAAGGAACGUCGCAGCUCUUUAUACAUUUCCUCCUCCCAGACCACAGACUCAGGCACUUAUUUCUGUGCUAUGAGUGCACAGUGCUCCCCACACACCUGCAGCCAGUACAAAAACCUUCAGCGGGGUGGGUGUGGCUCUUCCCUAUCAUGA